rnacentral:rRNA from 1 species
UCCGCCCGCCGCGCGCGGCGGGCGGGGCGGGGGCACGGGGGGCCUACGGGAGGCAGCAGUGAGGAAUAUUGGACAAUGGGCGAAAGCCUGAUCCAGCCAUGCCGCGUGUGUGAUGAAGGCCUUAGGGUUGUAAAGCACUUUCGACGGGGAUGAUAAUGACCGUACCCGAGAAGAGUAUUAC